GACGGAGGAGGCAAGAGUUAUCCGGAAUUAUUGGGCGUAAAGGGUACGUAGGCGGCUGGUCAAGUCUGGGGUCAAAGGCCACAGCUCAACUGUGGGAAGGCCCUGGAAACUGACCGGCUAGAGUGAGGUAGGGGUUGCGGGAAUUCCAGGUGUAGCGGUGAAAUGCGUAGAGAUCGGGAAGAACACCUGAGGCGGAAGCGCGCAACCGGGCCUCAACUGACGCUGAGGUAAGAAAGCUAGGGGAGCGAAUGGG
rnacentral:rRNA from 1 species